GAAAAAGGCAGUCUCCCUAUAGAUAGAAAACAGCUGAAACAGAUGACCAGCAGCUUCCUGGUAAGAUCUCAGGAGCUGGGCGAGUCGGCUCAACCCUGCGUAUUAAAAGGCAAAAUGGUGGAGUUUAAUUGGUAUAUGACCUCCCUCUAGGAACACCCAACUGGUCAAAUCCUUUCUUCUGAAGAGGCAAGAAUUGAGGUUGCUGCAGACCUGUAGGUCUUCACCACUGCUAACACCCAGACUGUCACUGUCAAUGUGAAGAAAGUCUCUGCAUCACAUACUAUAUUAAUGGACAUAGUGUGACUCAGGUCUAUGGGAGCGUCUAACACUAACAUACCUGCAUCAGAAG
rnacentral:lncRNA from 10 species